ensembl:lncRNA
CACAGAACCUGCAGAUUGAACACAGCUAAUCUCAAGUAAACAUCUUUACUUUGAGACAAGUUGUUUUUUAGACAAGCAUCGCUUUUCAACUGGUACUUACUUUUACAGACCAGUCCCUUGGUCGCAAGUUAAAAUGGAAGAAGACGGACGAGGGGAUGGCACACACAACAGAGAUGAUCACCCCCAGUUUCCCCUGCAUCUCUUUGAAAUAGGAGAACAGCCACCAGCUGUUCCGCUUAAUGCUGGACUCCUUGCAUGGCUGCAGUUUCUCAUAAAUCAUGGAUUGGAGGAGGCUGGCUUUGCUUGGUUGGUGGAGGUGGUUCAGCAGCCCGUGGUAGGACACAACGCUGACAACAACAUCAACAACGAAGACCAUGACAACAACGAGAACAAUGAAAAUCCUGACGACAACAUCAAUAAUGACAACAACGAGAACAAUGAAAAUCCUGACGACAACAUCAAUAAUGACAACAAUGACAACCACAGAGAUGACGUUAACAAUGAAGACAAUGACAACCAAGACAACAUUGACAACUUGCACAAUGACGACAUCCACAACGACAAUAUAGAUGACAGUGCUGACAAUGUUGACGGGGAAAAUGCGAACGAUACUGAUGCAAGCUCAGGGGUUGAGAAUGUAGAAGACGACAAACUCCUGCUUGGAAGAUCCAGGAGGAGGUCAAGAGAGGAGGAUGACGAGGACAACGAAGACAGAAGCAGUAAACGAUUCAGGUGGUGGGAUGAGUUUGAUGACAGCAGCAACGGGUACAUGUCUGACAGCGACAGUGUCACUGACAGAACUGACUCUGACAAUAACAGCAAUGACAGCAAUAUUGAAAAUGGUUCAGCCAAAUGCACGGCAGCUGUACAAGAAGAAGAAGAAGAAGACCCUUUGCCUGGUCCAUCUCGGAAAUGGUCAAGUAACAACGAUAAAGUAGAAGAGGCGAGAAGAGGCGAACAAUCACGACAGCGCCGUGAGUCAGUUGACAGCCGCUCUGACAGCAGCUCUGACCUCAGCUCUGGCCUCAGCUCUGGCCUCAGCUCUGGCCUCAGCUCUGACACUGCUUCAGUCGCAACUGGUGACGAUCUCGCUCAGAGUAGUAGCAGUUUUGAGCCGGCUGAAACCGCAGGCCCUGCGGAGCAGACGAACGAGGAAGUCAACCGGUUGGUGGAGGAGGAAAUCCCGCUGCCAAGAUCACAGCGGAAGAGGUCGAGAAAAAGUGACGACAAUGAAGACAGUGGACGCAGCAAACGAUCGAGACAUUAGGACGAGACACUAGAAACCAAGACUGACUCUCAAUGACAGUUGACAAUUGGACUUUUUUGGACUGUUUUCAUUUGUGGUGAUCCUUUUUUCUUUUUAGUAGUGUUUCACCCAAAUAACUACUAAAAGACUUGUGUGCAUAAACAGUAAAUUAGGCACUGGGUAUGAUACACAGACAGAGGGUGGUUCCCACAAAGUUGCUCAUCAGUCCACUACUGGCACCGACUGUUUCCUGGGGGGGGAUUCUUCUUUGAGUGGGCCCUCCCAAGGUUUCUUCCUUUUUAGCCUCUUAACUGGGCUUUUUAGGGAGUUUUUCCUUGCUCUCAUUGAAGUUCUGGUCGGAUGUCAGUUUAUUUUAAUAUCUAAUUGGCAUCAUUUUAUACAUUUACAGUGGGCUUUAUUGGGCUUUAUUUAGGAAAAUCACCUUCUGUUACCUACAAUACAUAAACAAAAUCACUUUAAUCAAUAAAUGGAUCACCAUCUUAAUAAUCAAAAAUAAAAUAAUAAUAAAU